UAGGGAAUCUUCGGCAAUGGACGAAAGUCUGACCGAGCAACGCCGCGUGAGUGAAGAAGGUUUUCGGAUCGUAAAACUCUGUUGUUAGAGAAGAACGUUGCAUAGAGUGGAAAAUUAUGCAAGUGACGGUAUCUAACCAGAAAGGGACGGCUAACUACGUGCCAGCAGCCGCGGUAAUACGUAGGUCCCGAGCGUUGUCCGGAUUUAUUGGGCGUAAAGCGAGCGCAGGUGGUUUAAUAAGUCUGAUGUAAAAGGCAGUGGCUCAACCAUUGUGUGCAUUGGAAACUGUUAGACUUGAGUGCAGUAGAGGAGAGUGGAAUUCCACGUGUAGCGGUGAAAUGCGUAGAUAUAUGGAGGAACACCGGUGGCGAAAGCGGCUCUCUGGACUGUCACUGACACUGAGGCUCGAAAGCGUGGGUAGCAAACAGGAUUAGAUACCCUGGUAGUCCACGCCGUAAACGAUGAGUGCUAGUUGUUUGGGGCUAUCCAGCCCUAAGUGACGCAGCAAACGCAUUAAGCACUCCGCCUGGGGAGUACGACCGCAAGGUUGAAAC
rnacentral:rRNA from 1 species